GACGUAGGGCGCAAGCGUUGUCCGGAUUUAUUGGGCGUAAAGAGCUCGUAGGCGGCUCGUUGCGUCGGCUGUGAAAACCCGCAGCUCAACUGUGGGCUUGCAGCCGAUACGGGCGGGCUGGAGUUCGGUAGGGGAGACUGGAAUUCCUGGUGUAGCGGUGAAAUGCGCAGAUAUCUGGAGGAACACCGGUGGCGAAGGCGACAUCCUGGACCGGUAUUGACGCUGAGGCGCGAAAGCCAGGGGAGCAAACGGG
rnacentral:rRNA from 1 species